rnacentral:lncRNA from 12 species
CGAGGUCACACCUGCAGCCUGUCGCUGCCGGGAAGCCACAGUCAUGGGGCCCAGGCCUGCCGGUGCCUCCUUUCUGCUGAGGCUGGAUCUGGAAGUGGCCAGGGUGCAUCGCAGACAGACACCUUCUAAGGCGCCACCGAUUUCCUCCCCCUGCCUGGCCUUUCUCAGUAUGAAAACAAUCUGUUAUUUCUCUCCCAGAUUCAAAAAGCCAGUGAGCCCACGGAAGACCUCCCCGCGCCCGCAUCUCCCUCCUGCUUGCAGCGCGUUCCCUGGCUCCUUUGCCACCAGCGUGUCGGCCUUGCUGGCAUUGUCCCGUGUCUCUGCAGCGCUCCAUCACGUCUGCCCGCCUCAGGGGCACCAGGGGAGUCACGUUGCCCGGUCCAUCAGAAACACGUGCCCCAGCAUCUGGCUUUACAUCAGCAUGAGCAUCAGAGCCAGCAACGGAGCCUCUGCCCAAGGACCCCUCGCAACGCGAGUCUCCAGAUCAGUGUCCCAAUGCACAUUAUCAGAGAUGUUGGUGAAACCCCAAAGAUCAAGGAGCUUCAAGCUCAGCCCCUUGGAACAAUUGUGA